UGUUCAUCAUUCUAAAAGUAAUUUCCUUAAAUAUAAUAUUCGUUUAUUUUAUAUUUAUCUAACAUGUUUUCUUUAUAAUAACCAUGUUAGUCUUGCAUCAAUAGCACAAAAAUAAAGUACAAAGUGAGAGUCUACCUUAUGGCUUCUUAUCAAUCUCGAGUUUGGUGGAUUUUGUUCGUUGCUUUUGUUUUGUUUUCAGGAUUCACAACCAGUAUUGAUCCUCCAGGAUAUAAGUGCAAUAAGGAAUGCACAACUGAUGAAGCAUGCAAUAAGUUUUGCAUGUUUUUUGGCCAUAAAAGUGGUUCAUGUCUAGAUCCCCCACCUAAGCGUUGUUGCUGUCAUACCUAAUAUUAUUGUACUCUUCCAUACAUCUUAAUGAAUAAAAUGCAUAUGAAUUGUUGGAAGGUUUUUAAAACCCAAUUGUCUUCCUUCUGAAAUCCAUAAAAGCUAUUAGUGUUAGAUAAAUCGGGAAAGUUGAAUGAAUUCAGAUCUAAAUCGUGAUUGGUGUUA